CUACCCACAAAUCCUUACCAACAAGGAGGCUGAAAAGUUCCGGAACCCCAAGGCAUCCCUGCACAUACGGCUCUGUGACCUCCUGAGCCACCUACAGCAGCGUGGGGAACGGCACUGUCAGGAAUUUUACCGAGCACUGUACAUCCAUGCCCAGCCCCUGCACAGCCACCUGCCCAGCCGCUACACUCCUCGACCCAUGAGCUUCCUGGCAGGCCUGGGUCUGGCAGCGGGCCUGGCCCUCCUCCUCUACUGCUGUCCACCAGACCCUAAAGUGCUGCCCGGGACCCGUCGCGUCCUUGCCUUCUCCCCCGUCAUCAUUGACCGGCACGCCAGCCGCUACCUGUUGGCCUUCCUGGCAGAUGACUUCGGAGGACUUUGACGAUCACACACCCUGGGCCUUACCUGCUGUUUAACCAAAGAAUCCCCUGGCUGCCCACUGUGGGGCCCAUACUUCUUUUCUAAAUACUUAUUUUUCAUUAUUUAUGAUUUCUACGAGAACACAUCACCUUCACUGUAUAAGGUGCUUAAUAUUAAAUGCCAGGUGCAUCUGCC
rnacentral:lncRNA from 1 species